UGCAACCUGAGCUCAGUCGUGAUUACCCGCCGAACUUAAGCAUAU
rnacentral:rRNA from 1 species